GAUGAACGCUGGCGGCGUGCCUAAUACAUGCAAGUCGAGCGAAUGGAUUAAGAGCUUGCUCUUAUGAAGUUAGCGGCGGACGGGUGAGUAACACGUGGGUAACCUGCCCAUAAGACUGGGAUAACUCCGGGAAACCGGGGCUAAUACCGGAUAACAUUUUGAACCGCAUGGUUCGAAAUUGAAAGGCGGCUUCGGCUGUCACUUAUGGAUGGACCCGCGCCGCAUUAGCUAGUUGGUGAGGUAACGGCUCACCAAGGCAACGAUGCGUAGCCGACCUGCGAGGGUGAUCGGCCACACGGGGACUGAGCCACGGCCCACACUCCUACGGGAGGCAGCAGUAGGGAAUCUUCCGCAAUGGCCGAAAGUCUGACGGAGCAACGCCGCGUGGGUGAUGAAGGCUUUCGGGUCGUAAAACUCUGUUGUUAGGGAAGAACAAGUGCUAGUUGAAUAAGCUGGCACCUUGACGGUACCUAACCAGAAAGCCACGGCUAACUACGUGCCAGCCGCCGCCGUAA
rnacentral:rRNA from 1 species